GCCUCUCCCCUUGCCCGAGCUCUCAGCCGCCACCAGGAGACUGACACGGAAGGGGCUUCUGGGCCGCCCCCCACCAACUCCUGCCUGGUUUCCCAAACUUCAGCGACCUCCAGCCCUCUUUGGGUGGAAAAUAGCAGGGCCCAGGCACCUCUUCUUCUUGUCAUUUGUGACCCGUGCUCUCAUCAGGAAUAUCUUACAAAGAAGGAGAGGAAGAAAGGCUGGCUAGAGCCCUGUUUAUAUCUAGUUCUGCAGAUCCCUUCACAUCUGGAGAGUUUAUUUAUAACUCCCACUAUAACUCUCUCUGUUUGGAGGCACUGGUGGCUCUAUUGACAGACUGAUGUCUAGAAAAUAUUGCUCUAUCUCUAACCAUAUCUAAAUGUGCUGCGGUUGUAUGUACAGAUUUAUGCUCGAGGGAAAUAUAAUUAUUUCCAUUGUAUUUGUGCAUAUACAAUAGUUAUAGGAGCAGAUUUAUAUAUGGGAAAAUAUAUGACUCUCUUAUAGCCAUCCAGCUUUAUGGACAUUUGAUAUCCUGACAGAUUUAUAGCUCUGAGCAGCUAUAUAGAUAAAUGCAUAUCGUGGAAAUUAUGUAUCAGGAGAUAUAUACUUAUUGAUUGUGAUAUAGAGUAGUUAGAGCAUUCACUUAGCGCCCUAUAUGGCUAUGGAGUUGUUUCUAUAUUAUUAUCACUAUAUAUAGGCAUAUCUAUUUAUAAUGACAUAGUUAUAAAAAUAGACAUAAGUAAUUAUAGUCCUAUAUGUACAUGCUGCUAUCUUGCUAGAGUUAUAGACCCUUGUGCGUAUAACUCUGUAGGGAUAUCUGUAUGUAUAUAAGGGUGUAAUUAUCUCAUGAUGUGUGUGUCCUGGGGCUUAGGCCAGUCUGUCUCUGUUCAGGCAUAUUUAUAUGCAGGGGCUGGGAGAGACUUGUUCACGGAAAUGUUUUCAGAGGGCCACCUCAGAGGCUGUAUCUGGCCAUCUAGGAAACCAGAGUUCUUUGCUUCACGGAGGGCUGGAGUUACCAAGGGGUGAACAGAGCCUAGGAAGCCUCCCGGGAGAGGAGGCAGAAGGUCACCUCACCUCAAUCCACUCCCUAAAACUGGCCAAGACCUGGAGAGGGGCUGAAGAUCUCAGUGGAAAAGAAUCCCGUGCACGCAGGCAUCUCCUACUUUUUCCCCACUACGCGCCCCGUCUGGAGAUGCAGCUGAAACUCUAAUUAUUUCCCCCCAUUACAUGGAUGAGGAAGUGGAGGCCUCUCGCUGGGGAAGUGAUUUGUUUAAGGCAACUAGGAGCAGAGAGCUCUGACAAGAAUUCCGGCAGUCCGACUCCCACCCAGGGUUCUUCUCAUUGGACCGUGCAUAAACAUGAACCUCAUGCAGCCAUAAAAUAGAGAAUUUGUGAAUAAAUACCUAUCCGAUUAAUGAAAUUACCGAGGC
rnacentral:lncRNA from 1 species